AUGAACGCUGGCGGCGUGCCUAACACAUGCAAGUCGAACGGAGUUGUCACCAUGAAGUUUUCGGAUGGAUUGGUAACAACUUAGUGGCGGACGGGUGAGUAACGCGUGGGUAACCUGCCUCAUACUGGGGGAUAACAGCUGGAAACGGCUGCUAAAACCGCAUAAGAUCGCAUCACCGCAUGGUGAAGCGGUUAAAUAUCGAAAGAUAGGUAUGAGAUGGGCCCGCGUCUGAUUAGCUAGUUGGUGAGAUAAGAGCUCACCAAGGCGAAGAUGGUUAGGGGUUUUGAGAGAGAGAUCCCCCACAUUGGAACUGAGAUACGGUCCAGACUCCUACGGGAGGCAGCAGUAGGGAAUAUUGGGCAAUGGGCGGAAGCCUGACCCAGCCAUGCCGCGUGAAGGAAGACGGCCUUAUGGGUUGUAAACUGCUUUUGUACGGAACGAAAAGGCUCUGGUUAAUACCUGGGGCUCAUGACGGUACCGUAAGAAUAAGCACCGGCUAACUACGUG
rnacentral:rRNA from 1 species